GGUGAGAUGGCUCAGUGGGUAAGAGCACCCGACUGCUCUUCUGAAGGUCCAGAGUUCAAAUCUCAGCAACCA
rnacentral:tRNA from 1 species